AGCGAACGCUGGCGGCAGGCUUAACACAUGCAAGUCGAGCGGGCACUUCGGUGUCAGCGGCAGACGGGUGAGUAACACGUGGGAACGUACCCUUCGGUUCGGAAUAACGCUGGGAAACUAGCGCUAAUACCGGAUACGCCCUUUUGGGGAAAGGUUUACUGCCGAAGGAUCGGCCCGCGUCUGAUUAGCUAGUUGGUGGGGUAAUGGCCUACCAAGGCGACGAUCAGUAGCUGGUCUGAGAGGAUGAUCAGCCACACUGGGACUGAGACACGGCAGACUCCUACGGGAGGCAGCAGUGGGGAAUAUUGGACAAUGGGCGCAAGCCUGAUCCAGCCAUGCCGCGUGAGUGAUGAAGGCCUUAGGGUUGUAAAGCUCUUUUGUCCGGGACGAUAAUGACGGUACCGGAAGAAUAAGCCCCGGCUAACUUCGUG
rnacentral:rRNA from 1 species